rnacentral:lncRNA from 1 species
CUGAACUACAGCUUAGGUAGCUUCACACAAACUCCUUUUAUCAUGGAUAUGAAAGCAAAAGAGAAAAGAAUGAGUAAAGCUUGCCCUGAUGGCAUGAGGCUCUUUACUUUUCUCUGCAAAUGUUGGGCAGAGCUCGAGCAGGCGGUAAUUGAUGGCUUGCACCUGGGGCUGCUCGUAGGCUCCUUUAGAAACACGUGUCUCUUUUAUGUUCAUGGGCAAGCAUGGAAGGGUGCUGAGAGCCAGUGCCUGUCACUGUCACCUCCUGCACCUUUACAGGAGCUCUCCAGAGACCUGGGCAUCCAUAGCGUUGACAGCAGCAGCAUUUUUCAUGGUGAUGUCUUUGUACCUACGGGGAGAGCAGAAAAAGAUGAGACUGCGUGGCUGAAUGUGGAUGCUUCUGUGAAGACAGCUGAUUCUCUUCCAGAUCACUUGAAUUUGUGACUGUUGUCCAAGACGGCCUUGAUUAUGGCAAAGAGGGGGCAAGGGUAGGGUCACAGCUCCCCCUCCCUCAGCCUGAAUCCCCAGAAAGUGCUAUGGGGUUAACCCUUGGUUACACCUUCUGGCAUUUUUUUCAGUUGAGCAGAGUGUUGCAAGUAAUCAGGAUUGUGUUUUGAUCUGCUUCUCUCUUUGCUUGGUCAUAGUUAUCUGUUGUUUAAGAGGAUUUUUAAUAUAUUUUAAUAUUUGCUUAUUAACUACAAAUAAUAUUUAAUACUGUGCUGAGAAGACAGAAAUACUGAGUUAUUCAAAGUGUGAUUUUGCAUCCUGAAGGAGCAGAGCCUGGCAGAGGGUCACAGAACUGGGCAGUGAGAUUUGCCUCUCAGCAGUGGAGCACCAAAGCACCCCAGGGGCUUAGAGAGAGCAGGGUGCAUGAUACCACUUAAUGCCUUCCAGACACAGGGCAUGGCUUUGUAGAAAAGGGCUGGCAGGGACUGAUGGUCUUAUCUGUGUAAAACGCCAUCACAGACAUUGGCAUGUUCUUGGUUUUUCAUUGCAUGCGCUGUCUAAUGGGCAGAUGGCUGUGGAUUUUUGUUCUCUCCCAAGCAAUCCCUGUGGGUUUUCUGCAGAAGUGGUCACCAGUGAGACAGCAUGUUGUAAUUCCUUCUGCUGGCUUGAACAGGGAGACAUCUAACAUUGCGAUGACAGGUUAACUGAGAGAUCAUCUGAGAACUUGUUUAAAAAUUGAAUACUGCUGAAGUCUAGCUUGUUACAUGAGUUGAGUGAACAUGGCCCUUUUGUGCUGACAUGGACUUUACCACUGUUCUAACAUAAAGAAAAACAGGAUCUUUAUAUGAAAAUACUUCCUUUACCAGAUGUCCAAAUUGUACAAGUAAUUUCAGUACAUUAUAUGUAAAUAUAACAGGUAUGGUGGGCAGAACAAGGGAGAGAACAAUUUCGAGAUGUUUAGCCAUUCAGCUUGAGAGAACAUUGUAUGAAGAGCAAC